GCCGCCAGGGGGCGCUGCCGGGACAGGGAAGGGAAGAGCACCGGGAUUGCGCAGGGAACCCGCUGGGGURGGGCGGAAAACGCUAUUGGGAAAGGGAGCAGAGCCGGAGAGGAGAGAGGGCUUCGGCGAGAUGGGGUGCCUCCGAGAAGUGACGAGAGAGACCUACGAUGUAGACAGGGGACCGUCGUGACAGAUGGAGAUUUUGUCAAAAUUCUUAAGACUUGAGGAUUGGUCAGACAUCAGUCAGUUUAAUGUUAAACAGAUACACAAGUGACUUGGAGUGAUUUUAUGAUGAUACUCUAUUCCUGAUCAUCUGAUUUAUGCCCAGAAAUAGGUCCUCUAACGUUUAAGCCAUUUUUUCCAUGGCCUCUGUUGUUACUGCUUGGACUGUUCGGCUUAGUUUAGUCYGAGAAUCAGACCAUCGGUGGGCACCGGUUCGCACAGACCGGCGAGGAAGCCACGGGGACACCGCAUCUCCACUGGGUCCUUGGGAGAAGUUGAACCAACAGAAGAAAGGACUCUAAAUCCAUCAGCUUCAUCUGCUGCGAAGAGGAGACCAACAUCAGAGGUUCACCAGGUUCUCAUCUGUUUUUUCUCCUUUUGCAAGCUGUGUGGACUCUUCUUCCUCCCCUGAGGCAAAGCCAUCCACCAUUUUGUUCCUUCUCACCAUAUGCUCGGUAGUUUUUCCUUUCCUGGACAUUCUUGGUUUAUUUUUUCUGCUGUCGGUGGGGAAGGAGGGUAAGGUUCUGAAGGUUCAAUAUCUAACAGUUAUUGAUUUUUUUUUCCCAUGCCCUACAGGCACCUUGUUUGUUAAAUAAGUGGGUUUUUUUCAUUUUCAUCCAGAAAAUUCAUUUUGCAUUGGUGGGAAGGGAUUGCUGAAACCCUUUUCUUUAGAGGAAAUGUUCAUUCCAGAGCAUUUUCUCCUCAAAUUGUCUCUAAAUGGAUCAGUAAUGCAAAUCACCAUUACAGGUAGAGAACAUGGGACUUCUUUUCAUGAAUUUACUAUGCUAGGUAUUCAGUCAGUUGUGGAUAGUUGCUUGUGGCUGGCAGGUCUGAUUCAAAAUGUUGUGUUGUACCCUGACUACAUCUCAUUGUCUAUAAAAUAAUCUCAUCUUUGCUACUAUGGCUUUGUUGGAGUGAAGAAAUCUGGGUGGUUCUCUUGCUACCAGUCAGCUUUAAUGCCAAGGGAGAAAAACAUGUCUGAGGCAGCACAUGUGCGGCAGGAGUUGAGCCGUGAGAGCUAAAUGAUUGUUGGGUAGAUCUACCUCUGCCUCUGCCUCUUGUAUAUCUCUGCGAGAGAAGUCAUUGCCUCACUGCAGUAGAAAUGACCCUUGUUUAUUUGGCUCAGUAAUUCUCAUUUAGUUUUGAAAUUCAGUGUACCAAAAUAAACUAAAUCCUCCA